rnacentral:rRNA from 1 species
CAACAGCGUAUAUUAAAGUUGUUGCAGUUAAAACGCUCGUAGUCGGAUUUCGGGGCGGGCGGGCCGGUCUGCCGAUGGGUAUGCACUGGUCUGGCCGUCCUUCCUUCCGGAGACCGUGCGUGCUCUUAACUGAGUGCGCUCGGGAGACGGAUCGUUUACUUUGAAAAAAUCAGAGUGUUUCAAGCAGGCAGCUCGCUCUUGCAUGGAUUAGCAUGGGAUAAUGAAAUAGGACUUUGGUGCUAUUUUGUUGGUUUCGAACACCGAAGUAAUGAUUAACAGGGACAGUCAGGGGCACUCGUAUUCCGCCGAGAGAGGUGAAAUUCUCAGACCAGCGGAAGACGAACCACUGCGAAAGCAUUUGCCAGGGAUGUUUNCACUGA